GACGAACGCUGGCGGCGUGCUUAACACAUGCAAGUCGAACGGUGACGAAGAGCUUGCUCUUCUGAUCAGUGGCGAACGGGUGAGUAACACGUGAGCAACCUACCCUUGACACUGGGAUAACAGUUGGAAACAGCUGCUAAUACCGGAUAUGAACCUCCCAGGCAUCUGAGAGGUUGGAAAGCUCCGACGGUCAAGGAUGGGCUCGCGGCCUAUCAGCUUGUUGGUGAGGUAACGGCUCACCAAGGCGACGACGGGUAGCCGGCCUGAGAGGGCGACCGGCCACACUGGGACUGAGAUACGGCCCAGACUCCUACGGGAGGCAGCAGUGGGGAAUAUUGCGCAAUGGGCGAAAGCCUGACGCAGCGACGCCGCGUGCGGGAUGACGGCCUUCGGGUUGUAAACCGCUUUCAGCAGGGACGAAACUGACGGUACCUGCAGAAGAAGCACCGGCUAACUACGUGCCAGCCGCCGCGGUAACAC
rnacentral:rRNA from 1 species